rnacentral:rRNA from 1 species
GCCAGACUCCUACGGGAGGCAGCAGUGGGGGAUAUUGCACAAUGGGGGGAACCCUGAUGCAGCGACGCCGCGUGGGUGAAGGAGCGUUUCGGCGCGUAAAGCCCUAUCGGCAGGGAAGAAGGAGGACGGUACCUGACUAAGAAGCCCCGGCUAACUACGUGCCAGCAGCCGCGGUAAUACGUAGGGGGCAAGCGUUGUCCGGAAUUACUGGGUGUAAAGGGAGCGUAGGCGGGAUGGCAAGUUGGGUGUUAAAUCUACCGGCUCAACUGGUAGUCGCACUCAAAACUGCUAUUCUUGAGUGAAGUAGAGGCAGGCGGAAUUCCUAGUGUAGCGGUGAAAUGCGUAGAUAUUAGGAGGAACACCAGUGGCGAAGGCGUCUUACUGGACCGAAACUGACGUUGAGGCUCGAAAGCGUGGGGAGCAAACAGGAUUAGAUACCCGAGUA